UACGAAGGGUGCAAGCGUUGCUCGGAAUCACUGGGCGUAAAGCGCACGUAGGCGGCUUUCUAAGUCAGGGGUGAAAUCCUGGAGCUCAACUCCAGAACUGCCUUUGAUACUGGGAAGCUCGAGUCCGGAAGAGGUGAGUGGAACUGCGAGUGUAGAGGUGAAAUUCGUAGAUAUUCGCAAGAACACCAGUGGCGAAGGCGGCUCACUGGUCCGGUACUGACGCUGAGGUGCGAAAGCGUGGGGAGCAAACAGG
rnacentral:rRNA from 1 species